UACGAAGGGUGCAAGCGUUACUCGGAAUUACUGGGCGUCCAGCGUGCGUCGGUGGUGAGUUAAGUCUGAUGUGAAAUCCCCGGGCUCAACCUGGGAAUGGCAUUGGAUACUGGCUCGCUAGAGUGCGGUAGAGGGUGGUGGAAUUCCCGGUGUAGCAGUGAAAUGCGUAGAGAUCGGGAGGAACAUCUGUGGCGAAGGCGGCCACCUGGACCAACACUGACACUGAGGCACGAAAGCGUGGGGAGCAAACAGG
rnacentral:rRNA from 1 species